CAGCAGCCGCGGGAACACGAAGGGUGCAAGCGUUACUCGGAAUUACUGGGCGUAAAGCGUGCGUAGGUGGUGGUUUAAGUCCGUUGUGAAAGCCCUGGGCUCAACCUGGGAAUUGCAGUGGAUACUGGGUCACUAGAGUGUGGUAGAGGAUAGUGGAAUUUCCGGUGUAGCAGUGAAAUGCGUAGAGAUCGGAAGGAACAUCUGUGGCGAAGGCGACUAUCUGGGCCAACACUGACACUGAGGCACGAAAGCGUGGGGAGCAAACAGGAUUAGAAACCCCCGUAGUCCCUGUCUCUUAUAC
rnacentral:rRNA from 1 species